rnacentral:rRNA from 1 species
CAUUAUCGAGAGACGGAGGUCUAACCGGCCCCACUCUUCACCCGUGCUUACCUUACCAUGUUGCUUUGGCGGGCCCUCGGGCUUUCCGACGCCUGGAGGGGCUUCCUCCGUGGCGAGCGCCCGUCAAAGGCCUUUAAACUCCGAUAUCCAAUUGUCCGAGCAACCUUUAAUAGUUAAAACUUUCAACAACGGAUCUCUUGGUUCUGGCAUCGAUGAAGAACGCAGCGAAAUGCGAUAAGUAAUGUGAAUUGCAGAAUUCAGUGAAUCAUCGAAUCUUUGAACGCACAUUGCGCCCUCUGGUAUUCCGGGGGGCAUGCCUGUUCGAGCGUCAUUAACACCCUCAAGCUUUGCUUGGUAUUGGGCCGCGUCCGAAUGUGGCACGCCCGAAAUGCAGUGGCGGUCCCGCGAGACUUCAAGCGUAGCAAGAUUUACAAUCCCGCUUCGAAUCCUCGCUGGCCCGACCAGACAAGCCGAAGUGUGACCCACUUCCACAAUCGACCUCGGAUCAGGUAGGGAUACCCGCUGAACUUAAGC